rnacentral:rRNA from 1 species
UUUUGAUUAUAAUUUAAAGUCUAACCUGCCCCAUGAUUUAUUAUUAAAUGGCCGCGAUAUUUUGAUCGUGCAAAGGUAGCAUAAUAAUUAGUUUUUUAAUUGAGAACUGGUAUGAAUGGUUGAACGAGAAAAAAACUGUCUCAAUUUAAAUUAAAUUAGAAUUUUAUUUUUAAGUUAAAAAGCUUAAAUAUUUUUAAAAGACGAGAAGACCCUAUAGAGUUUUAUAUAAAUUAUUAUUUUAAAAAAUUUAAGAAUUUUAAAUUUAAUUAUAAUAGUUUGUAUUUAAUUGGGGUGAUUAAAAAAUUUAAGAAACUUUUUUUAUAUUUAAACAUAAAUUUAUGAGUAGAUGAUCC